UACAGGGGUGGCAAACGUUGCUCGGAAUCAUUGGGCGUAAAGCGCACGUAGGCGGUUCGUUAUGUCGGAUGUGAAAGCCCUUGGCUUAACCGAGGAAGUGCAUCCGAAACUGGCGAGCUAGAGUACUAAAGAGGAUCGCGGAAUUCCCGGUGUAGAGGUGAAAUUCGUAGAUAUCGGGAGGAACACCGGUGGCGAAGGCGGCCUGCUGGGCAGUUGCUGACACUGAGGCGCGACAGCGUGGGGAGCAAACAGG
rnacentral:rRNA from 1 species